rnacentral:rRNA from 1 species
CAGCCGCCGCGGUAAUACGUAGGGUGCAAGCGUUAAUCGGAAUUACUGGGCGUAAAGCGUGCGUAGGCGGUGAGUUAAGUCUGCUGUGAAAUCCCCGGGCUCAACCUGGGAAUGGCAGUGGAUACUGGCUCGCUAGAGUGUGUCAGAGGAUGGUGGAAUUCCCGGUGUAGCGGUGAAAUGCGUAGAGAUCGGGAGGAACAUCAGUGGCGAAGGCGGCCAUCUGGGACAACACUGACGCUGAGGCACGAAAGCGCGGGGAGCAAACAGGAUUAGAUACCCGCGUAGUCCCUGUCUCUUAUAC